UUAUCCCGGUUAAUCGGGAUUACUGGGCGUAAGCGUGCGCAGGCGGUUCGGAAGAGAGGUGUGAAAUCCCAGGGCUCAACCUUGGAACUGCACUUUUUACUACCGAGCUAGAGUAUGUCAGAGGGGGGUGGAAUUCCGCGUGUAGCAGUGAAAUGCGUAGAUAUGCGGAGGAACACCGAUGGCGAAGGCAGCCCCCUGGGAUAAUACUGACGCUCAUGCACGAAAGCGUGGGGAGCAAACAGGAUUAGAUACCCUGGUAGUCCACGCCCUAAACGAUGUCAACUAGCUGUUGGGGCCUUCGGGCCUUAGUAGCGCAGCUAACGCGUGAGGUUGACCGCCUGGGGAGUACGGUCGCAAGAUUAGAACUCAAAGGAAUUGACGGGGACCCGCACAAGCGGUGGAUGAUGUGGAUUAAUUCGAUGCAACGCGAAAAACCUUACCUACCCUUGACAUGUCUGGAAUCCCGAAGAGAUUUGGGAGUGCUCGCAAGAGAACCGGAACACAGGUGCUGCAUGGCUGUC
rnacentral:rRNA from 1 species